AUUGAACGCUGGCGGCAUGCCUUACACAUGCAAGUCGAACGGCAGCACGGGAGCAAUCCUGGUGGCGAGUGGCGAACGGGUGAGUAAUAUAUCGGAACGUGCCCAGUCGUGGGGGAUAACGCAGCGAAAGCUGUGCUAAUACCGCAUACGAUCUAAGGAUGAAAGCGGGGGAUCGCAAGACCUCGCGCGAUUGGAGCGGCCGAUAUCAGAUUAGCUAGUUGGUGGGGUAAAGGCCCACCAAGGCGACGGUCUGUAGCUGGUCUGAGAGGACGACCAGCCACACUGGAACUGAGACACGGUCCAGACUCCUACGGGAGGCAGCAGUGGGGAAUUUUGGACAACGGGCGCAAGCCUGAUCCAGCAAUGCCGCGUGCAGGAUGAAGGCCUUCGGGUUGUAAACUGCUUUUGUACGGAACGAAACGGCCCUUUCUAAUACAGGGGGCUAAUGACGGUACCGUAAGAAUAAGCACCGGCUAACUACGUGCCAGCAGCCGCCGCGGUAA
rnacentral:rRNA from 1 species